CCGUGCUUCCUCAAGCUUCCUCAUACCCCUCGGCCUGAAUCACUCAACAUUUGGGGUCUCAUUGUUUGCGUGGAGUAGCUCGAGUAAGUUCUCAGGUAAGGUGAGCUCCUGAAUUACCAGAGAGCGAACAUGCGAUAAGUACCCCACUCAACAAUCUCAGAGAGAGUUUGUAUGGAAAUCGCCACAGCUUCUUCUCUGCUUGAAUUCUGCUUGUUGGUAUAAGCAGAACUCAGAGAAGAAGCUUAAAAUGAACCGGCGCUCAGUGACGUCACGGAUCGCACUGAAUCCCAUCCAAAGAAUUUUAUGUUCCAACCUGCUCGAGUCAUCGCGACCACACCCGAUGUCAAAAUUAAAUUAAAACGAAUUUUUUUCUGUUUACUUUUUAUUGAAAGAUAGCCGCGUCGCUUUUGUGAACGUUAUAAAAUUCAGAAUUGCAGAAAACUUUUGCGAAAAAACUGCUUGUGUUUACUGAUAACCUCUGUAUUUGAAGCUACUGAAUUGUUAUUUGAAGAACGUCAGCUGUUGUUCUGUACUGGUUGUUCGAGAUUCGUCGUAUAUUCUUCGCUUUUGUAACCUGUUACGAUGAACGCUUCGAGUGUGGCAGCUGCCGGGUGUGGAUGCGAGCAGGAAUGUUACUGCAGAAGCCUGGCUGUUGAAAAUAACAGGAAAAUACAUAUAUUGACGAAUCUAACAACAGAUUUACAUAUGAAAUUAGAUGAACUUUUAGCAAUGCAACGUCAACAUCCAAUUCAGCCUUUGGAUACUGUUGCAGUGAUAGUGCAAGGGGAUCAAACAGAUGGGUUUGUCUUUGCCAAAAUUAGUGACAAAAACGAGCUAGCCAAAUUUGAGGCGGAUUUGAUGCUGACGGAGCGUUUUUCUUUUAUCAAAACGUGGCUCCUUAAAAAACUUAAGUCCGUAGGAAGCAUACCAAGGAUGCAUGAAGCCCUGUACAUAAUUUUUAAUAGAGUUUUUUUUAAUGAAGUGCUCGUGGAGUGGACUAGGAGUAGGACGUAAAAAACAAAAGUAGAAUUUAGGACAAAUGUAAAUAUAUUACGAUUAUUAAAGGAAAUUGGAAAUAUUCAGGACAUAGCAGAAUUAGAAAAAAAAAAAUUAGCAAGAAGCUCCGUAACGCUGGUUCUGUUGCCCAAAGAACCGGGGUCAUUAAAAGCGUUAGUUGAGGGAAGUUUACGAAAAAGAAGAAAGAGGAAAAAAAUCUGAAUCUUUGUAAAUAUUUUAAAUAAUAUGAAUUUUAGAUUUAGUAGUUUUAAUAUCAAUUUUAGUUAUUUGUCUUCUUUGAAAACAUAU